ensembl:snoRNA SNORA73 Small nucleolar RNA SNORA73 family
CUGCCCCGUGAUGUUCAGUCCUUCCCCCCAAGGUCAGAGAUAGAGCUGGGCUGGGAGUUUGCACCUGCAUAUUCCUGCAGCUUCUCAGACACCUAUGGGCAAUGGCUGAGAAGAUAGGCUGUGCAGGAAACACAC